UACGAAGGGUGCAAACGUUGCUCGGAAUCAUUGGGCGUAAAGCGCACGUAGGCGGCUUCGCAAGUCGGAUGUGAAAUCCCAUGGCUCAACCAUGGACGUGCAUCCGAAACUGCGGAGCUUGAGUACUGAAGAGGAUCGCGGAAUUCCCGGUGUAGAGGUGAAAUUCGUAGAUAUCGGGAGGAACACCAGUGGCGAAGGCGGCGAUCUGGGCAGAUACUGACGCUGAGGUGCGAAAGCGUGGGGAGCGAACAGG
rnacentral:rRNA from 1 species